rnacentral:snoRNA from 1 species
UACUGGGAUUAAAGGCGUGUGCCACCAUACCUGGCUAACAAUGUUGUUUCUUGACUAUACCUGUCUGCUAGACACCUGUAGCAGCCAGGGACUCUUGAUCUCAUACAU